UCCUCCCCCGCCAGGGGCGAGCUAUUUAAAGUUCACUCGGAGAGUGCAGAGAACACAAGGACGCUUUCCACCGGUGGCUCGCAAGUUAUCCCGCUCCCUCAACACUUCGCUUGGACUCAGUUUUGCAUAAUGGGUGUGAAGAUGCUGCAGUGUUUCCCCUUCUACAAACACUGCAAAGAGCGCUGCAAAAGCAAAGGCUUCCCCUCAGUGAUAGAGGAGAGGAACCUCCGCGUGGCCUCCAGCACGUCGUGCGGCAGCGACAGCCUCGCCCGGGGACCCCACGUUUAUUUCUCCUCCAAAGCUAGGAUGUCUUUUCGACACCAGCUGGACAGCAAUGUCAACGCGGUGGAUGCCACCAACUGAGCCGGCGACGCUGACGGACCCGUGCGUCCGCGCUUCACGACAACCGUGUCCCGACCGAGCGCCGUACGGUGGCAGUGACGGCUUUCACUCUUUACGACAAGCGGCGGUUUGGCAGUUAGUGAAUAACAUCUGAAAAAAAAAAAGAAGAGGCUUCCAGCUAUUUCGUGCCACUCCCAGUUAAUGUUUACUCAAAAACUAAACAAAAAACAAGGGCAGAAUUACACCUUGUGUUUUGGAAACUUUGUGAUGGCAAAGUGAGGGCAAAAUACGAAGCGCUAUUUCCAUGCUAACGAUUAGCAUCGCUAACUGCGGGUUUAGAAGCAACGCAUGUGGACAAAUAACACGACAAUUCUCACAGGCAUAUAUUCUUUAUCCUCUACAAAAAAAUGAGUAACAUUAUAGCAUAUUCAAAGUCAUGUUCUUCUUUGCUUGUGUCUACAUGAGUAUUAUACAGUGCUGCCUCCUGGUGGUCAAAGCCGGAAGGCGCAGCACGCUGAAUUAGCUUGCCGCUAUAGACAUUCUAUUUAUCGCGCCAUUAGAUGACUAUAAAGUACAAUAUUUCAAAAAACAAACAGAAAAGCAAAUUUUCUUUCGUUUUUUGCUUUUUUAAUGCCUUACAAGCUAUGGUCUUUUUUUUAACACCUGUGUAUGGACCUCUUAUAAUGCCAUACAUGUUUUUUUUUUUUUUUUUAAAGAUUUCCCUGCCUAACAAAUGAGGCCAACGAUAUCCACAUUCAAUAAAAAUGUAUGAUAAUGCAUCGCCAUGGACAUACAAAGAUUGUAUUUUGAAACUUCA